rnacentral:lncRNA from 1 species
UCCUUUCUCCCCCCCCUUUUCCUUUCAGAGUUAUGAAUGAUAUUGAUGUAUCCAGAUGCUUUAAGAAGGUGUGAGAAGGCUACUUUGGACUGGUCACAGCUCCCGCCGAGAGGAACUGCAGCACUGAAACUCAGUUUGGCUUGCUCCAUGAGUCCAGAAGAGCAUGGGUUAGAACAACCAAUAAAGGUCACCGUUUCCUACUCUUUUUGUACUCUUUUCUUUCCAGAGAAAAUCUCCUUUGGAGAAGAAAUCUUAGCUACUCUGAUUAGAAAUUGAUAAAAAGCAAUUUCUUUUGCAGAUGUAUUUUUGGCAUCCUGGUAUUUCAAGUACUUUUACCUGUGAACUUGUCUAUAGUACAGCGGUGGUAUGUGUUUGCAUCUUAAGCAGAUAUGAUUUCAAUGGAGAGCAGAGUGGCCAAGACAGUAUCCCUUACUAGGUGGAGAAGUAACAUAUAAUGUUGAAUGUGAAUAGUUUACGCAGUAUCUGAGUCAAUGUGAUGCAUUUCAAAGCCCUGCAUCCCUCACAGACUGCAUUGUAAAUCCUGAUCCUUUUUCCUUGUGCACUGCUCUUCCUGAGAUACAUUCAGCUAAGGGCAAGGUCUCUUUUAUUUAAAUGAAUAUUUACUUAUGGAUUUGAAUUCAUGAAUUCCAAUGAAUGGCCCUGGUUUCCAAAGGACUCCCACUUGUGACUCUCUCAGGUACCCUAAUAUCAAAACUAGGUCUUCACUUAAAUUUAUUUGUGAGUUCAAACUCCAGUGAUUAGAAAAACUAUACCUCUCAUUUGCAGCUAAUAAUAUCAGUGAUAUGACUUAUGUUUACUUGAUUGGCUUCCUGUUUGGCAGCUGGUGCCUUCUGCGAUCCACAGUAUUAUAGACCAGUUUGGGUUAUGUAGAUCAAAACAAAACUAAGAACUGUUUUCCUCUCCAAAAUAGGAGGAUAUUCUUUCUGUCUCACUCUAAACUUGCUUGGAGGCUCUGAGGCUGUUAGAUCAGAUCCUGUUACGUUCAUUACCACUACUUGUUGGUGCAGCUGAGUAUAGACCCAGGCAUGGCCAAAUGCUAGGAAAAAGGUUCUUGGCUCACAUAUAUAGGCUGAGACAGCUCUGCUACUUGGAAGAAAGUGCAGCUCAACAUCUAAACGUGUGCUUGUUUGUCCAAACCUAGUCUUUGCAGUGUCAUCCAUCUCUGAUGUUUAUAUUUUCCAAGUGGAUGAUUUCACCUCCUAUUUAAUCCAUAGUGCUAUUUUUAGAGUUAGACAACGUGCAGACUGGAGGCUUU